UACGUAGGGCCCAAGCGUUGUCCGGAAUCAUUGGGCGUAAAGAGCGUGUAGGCGGCUUGUUAAGUCUUGCGUGAAAUCUCGGGGCUCAACCCCGAGCGGUCGUGAGAAACUGGCAGGCUAGAGUGCGGGAGAGGAGAGUGGAAUUCCUGGUGUAGCGGUGAAAUGCGCAGAUAUCAGGAAGAACACCCGUGGCGAAGGCGGCUCUCUGGAACGCAACUGACGCUGAGACGCGAAAGCGUGGGGAGCAGACAGG
rnacentral:rRNA from 1 species